rnacentral:ncRNA from 13 species
CCGUAAUUGAACCAAAUUGGUGCCGGGGAACCGGAUAAUAGGGAAAGCGUAUGCCGCUACAGCCCACCGCUGCCGUGUGACGGAGCGCCUGCGCCGGACGGGAAAUUUGUCCGGAAUUUGUGGAAAACCACGUAAAUGCCACUGGUGAAAACCGGGAAGGCGCGCAGGACGUGAUGAGGUCAAGUCGGAAAACCUGCCGGUUUGGAAACGUUUUUU